rnacentral:rRNA from 1 species
AUGGAGGUUGCCAUGUCCGCAGUUGCAGGCGAACUUGUCAGCCGGUUCAUCUCCUUGCUGAUGAGCAAGUACCACUCCUCCAUCCAUGCACAAUCGAAGGAGCAGAAUCUGGCGAAGCGGUUGCGGCAUCUCCUGAUGCGCGUUGGCACCGUCGUCGAGGAGGCGGACGGGCGGUACAUAACCAACUCCGGGAUGUUGGCCCAGCUCAAGAUGCUCUCCGAGGCCAUGUAUGGAGGGUACCGUGUGCUGGACACCUUGAUGUACCGCGCCCUCCGAAACAGCGCGGGCUUCGACGAGGUGAUGAUGACUGGAAAAGGUUUCACUCAUUGGUCACAAGAAUGGGCAGAGGAAGCAAGAUCAUCAUUGUAA